UGGGUAGUCCGCACGAGCGCACCUUGUCCCUAGUUGCCAGCAUUUCGGAUGGGAACUCUAGGGAGACUGCCGGUGAUAAACCGGAGGAAGGUGGGGACGACGUCAAGUCAUCAUGGCCCUUAUGGGCAGGGCUACACACGUGCUACAAUGGUCGGUACAGAGGGUUGCCAAGCCGCAAGGUGGAGCCAAUCCCACAAAGCCUAUCGUAGUCCGGAUCGGAGUCUGCAACUCGACUCCGUGAAGUCGGAAUCGCUAGUAAUCGCGAAUCAGCAACGUCGCGGUGAAUACGUUCCCGGGUCUUGUACACACCGCCCGUCACACCAUGGAAGUUGGUUGUACCAGAAGUCGGUAGCUUAACCUUCGGGGGGGCGCCGCCCACGGUGUGGCUAAUGACUGGGGUGAAGUCGUAACAAGGUAGCCGUACGGGAACGUGCGGCUGGAUCACCUCCUU
rnacentral:rRNA from 1 species